AGGAGUUUGAUCCUGGCUCAGAACGAACGCUGGCGGCGUGCUUAAGACAUGCAAGUCGAACGGUAAGGCACCUUCGGGUGUACACGAGUGGCGCACGGGUGAGUAACGCGUGGGUAAUCUGCCUUCGGGUUUGGGACAACUCCGGGAAACUGGAGCUAAUACCGAAUAAGACCACGAGGUCUUCGGACUUAGUGGAAAAAGGUGGCCUCUUCUUGAAAGCUAUCGCCUGUAGAUGAGCCCGCGUCCCAUUAGUUUGUUGGUGAGGUAAAAGCUCACCAAGGCAUCGAUGGGUAGCUGGUCUGAGAGGAUGAUCAGCCACACUGGAACUGAGACACGGUCCAGACUCCUACGGGAGGCAGCAGUCGGGAAUCUUGCACAAUGGGCGAAAGCCUGAUGCAGCAACGCCGCGUGAGGGAUGAAGGCCCUCGGGUCGUAAACCUCUGUCGAGAGGGAAGAACGGUAUCCAGGUUAAUACCCUGGGUGUUUGACGGUACCUCCAAAGGAAGCACCGGCUAACUCUGUGCCAGCAGCCGCGGUAAUACAGAGGGUGCAAGCGUUAUUCGGAAUUAUUGGGCGUAAAGGGCAGGUAGGCGGUUUUGUGUGUCCUCUGUGAAAGCCCUCGGCUCAACCGAGGAAUUGCAGGGGAAACUGCAGAACUUGAGUCCGGGAGAGGCUAGUGGAAUUCCCAGUGUAGCGGUG
rnacentral:rRNA from 1 species